AUCAUGGGUUCAAAUCCCCACCUGACUGGAAAAUCACUAAAGGUACAUCCAGGUUUUGCAGCAACACAUGCUGCCAUCCAAGCAACACCAGACCCAACAAUAGACAGGUUGAAGAGUGCUAUGAAAGCAGCCUGGGCUUCCAUAACACCUCCGCAGCACCACAGGCUGAUUGCCUCCAUGCUGCACUGCAUUGAUCCACUAAUUCAUACAAAACAAUUGAGUGUAAUUAACAUACUUCAACAUUUCUGUAUUAUAAUUUUUAUCCAUCUUUAUGAAAUAUUUUAACAGUGUGACAUGCUUUUUAAAUGAGAUAUUCUAAUAGUCUGAGAUACUAUUUUCUUUUAUGGAGCUGUAGGCUGUAAUUAUCAAAAUUAAAAUUGAGAUGCUUGAAACAUUCUUGCUUAUUUGUAAUGAGUCUCAAAUAUAUAAAAUGAUCAUUUUUGGAAAUAACUGACAAAAUAUUUAACAUUUUCACAAUAUUGAAAUUUUUGAGAUGCACCUGUAUUGUGCUUAAAUUGUCAUAAACCUGCAGUAAAACACCACAGAUGCACAUUACUACAGUGACUCACUGUGAAUGUGUUAAAACUAUGGCCAUUAUUGCAGUGUUUCAGAGUAAAGCCCCUGCGUAGAGUUGCGUUGUGCUUUGUAUGUUGCGCGGGUGUGUGUGUGUGUGGCCCGCCUCCUCUUCUUCUGUGAUUUUGAAGCUUGUCCAACGAGAUGCAAUGCAGGUAUGUACUAAUAAAUACGGACACGCUAAUUUAAAUCACAGCUUUUAGCUCAUCUGAGCAAAAUUAUUAACUUACCAGGCAGCUGUUGCUCAGCAGCUGUUUCCUUCAAACUUUAUUCUGUGGCCUCUAACGUUGAAGAGGAGGGCAUUCUGCUACAGCUCAACCAGUGCUGAGUUUUGGGGAACUGUUUCAUGGCUCUACUUCAACUGUGCAAAACCCUCACAGGGGCAACUAAAAUUUCUGAGAUUUCAAAAAUUCAUCUGACUGUGUGAUUGCUGGACGGGAGGGGUUCAUCUCCUCUCGUUACUCCCCAACACUAGACAGAGCUGAAAUUUGGCCAGACUCAUAAAGGAAUCAUACGGCUCAGAAUUCAGCUCAAAUCGCAGUGUAUGCUCAGUUUAAUGUUAAGGUUUGUUGCUUUUAUACCACCAGCGUUAACUAAGGACAAAGCCUGAGCCCAGUGGGGCCUCUUGUGUGGAGUUUUCUGUAGGUGCUUUGUUUUGUCCCACCACAGAAGAAGUCACUGACUUUGGGGCUGACCUCAACAUCCAGUUGGUCUCCAGCUGUUACACUCUGGCUAUUUUCUGCUGUAAAUAGCUCAGGAUGUGUCAAAUUCGGGAUUGAAAAACAAAACCAUUGGUUUUCCCAGUAAGCGACUCAAGACCGCUCCCUCUAGAAAAUCCUUCACCAUCUACACACCCAACAA